rnacentral:rRNA from 1 species
UACGGGGGGGGCAAGCGUUGUUCGGAAUUACUGGGCGUAAAGGGCUCGUAGGCGGCCAACUAAGUCAGACGUGAAAUCCCUCGGCUUAACCGGGGAACUGCGUCCGAUACUGGUUGGCUUGAAUCCGGGAGAGGGAUGUGGAAUUCCAGGUGUAGCGGUGAAAUGCGUAGAUAUCUGGAGGAACACCGGUGGCGAAGGCGACAUCCUGGACCGGUAUUGACGCUGAGGCGCGAAAGCCAGGGGAGCAAACGGG